CAGUCGCCGCGGGAAUACGUAGGUGGCAAGCGUUGUCCGGAAUUAUUGGGCGUAAAGGGCUCACAGGCGGUUUCUUAAGUCUGAUGUGAAAGCCCCCGGCUCAACCGGGGAGGGUCAUUGGAAACUGGGAAACUUGAGUGCAGAAGAGGAGAGUGGAAUUCCACGUGUAGCGGUGAAAUGCGUAGAGAUGUGGAGGAACACCAGUGGCGAAGGCGACUCUCUGGUCUGUAACUGACGCUGAGGAGCGAAAGCGUGGGGAGCGAACAGGAUUAGAUACCCGAGUAGUCCCUGUCUCUUAUAC
rnacentral:rRNA from 1 species